GGAAGCGUGGCCGAGCGGUUGAAGGCACCGGUCUUGAAAACCGGCGACGGGGCGACCCGUUCGUGAGUUCGAAUCUCACCGCUUCCGCCA
rnacentral:tRNA from 1 species